UAGGGAAUCUUCCGCAAUGGACACAAGUCUGACGGAGCAACGCCGCGUGAGUGAAGAAGGAUUUCGGUUCGUAAAACUCUGUUGUUAGAGAAGAACAGCGCAUAGAGUAACUGUUAUGCGUGUGACGGUAUCUAACCAGAAAGCCACGGCUAACUACGUGCCAGCAGCCGCGGUAAUACGUAGGUGGCAAGCGUUGUCCGGAUUUAUUGGGCGUAAAGCGAGCGCAGGCGGUCAAUUAAGUCUGAUGUGAAAGCCCCCGGCUCAACCGGGGAGGGUCAUUGGAAACUGGUUGACUUGAGUGCAGAAGAGGAGAGUGGAAUUCCAUGUGUAGCGGUGAAAUGCGUAGAUAUAUGGGGGAACACCAGUGGCGAAGGCGACUCUCUGGUCUGUAACUGACGCUGAGGCUCGAAAGCGUGGGUAGCAAACAGG
rnacentral:rRNA from 1 species